CCUACGGGGGGCUGCAGUGAGGAAUCUUGCGCAAUGGGGGAAACCCUGACGCAGCAACGCCGCGUGAGUGAGGAAGGCCUUCGGGUCGUAAAGCUCUGUCAGAUGGAAAGAACCAUAUAGGGACGAAUAAUCCCUAUAUCUGACGGUACCAUCAAAGGAAGCACCGGCUAACUCCGUGCCAGCAGCCGCGGUAAUACGGGGGGAGCAAGCGUUGUUCGGAAUCGUUGGGCGUACUUAGUAAGUAGGCGGCGAAAGCCCCGGGCUUAACUCGGGAAGUGCAUUUGAAACUGUCUAGCUUGAGUAGGGGAGAGGGAAGCGGAAUUCCUGGUGUAGAGGUGAAAUUCGUAGAUAUCAGGAGGAACACCGGUGGCGAAGGCGGCUUCCUGGCCCUAUACUGACGCUGAGACGCUAAAGCGUGGGUAGCAAACAGGAUUAGAUACCCUGGUAGUC
rnacentral:rRNA from 1 species